UAAUUGAAGAGUUUGAUCAUGGCUCAGAUUGAACGCUGGCGGCAGGCCUAACACAUGCAAGUCGGGCGGUAACAGGGAGAAGCUUGCUUCUCCGCUGACGAGCGGCGGACGGGUGAGUAAUGUAUGGGGAUCUGCCUGAUGGAGGGGGAUAACUACUGGAAACGGUAGCUAAUACCGCAUAAUGUCUUCGGACCAAAGCGGGGGACCUUCGGGCCUCGCGCCAUCAGAUGAACCCAUAUGGGAUUAGCUUGUAGGUGAGGUAACGGCUCACCUAGGCGACGAUCCCUAGCUGGUCUGAGAGGAUGAUCAGCCACACUGGGACUGAGACACGGCCCAGACUCCUACGGGAGGCAGCAGUGGGGAAUAUUGCACAAUGGGCGCAAGCCUGAUGCAGCCAUGCCGCGUGUAUGAAGAAGGCCUUCGGGUUGUAAAGUACUUUCAGUCGGGAGGAAGGUGU
rnacentral:rRNA from 1 species